ACGAACGCUGGCGGCGUGCUUAACACAUGCAAGUCGAACGGAAAGGCCCUGCUUUUGUGGGGUGCUCGAGUGGCGAACGGGUGAGUAACACGUGAGUAACCUGCCCUUGACUUUGGGAUAACUUCAGGAAACUGGGGCUAAUACCGGAUAGGAGCUCCUGCUGCAUGGUGGGGGUUGGAAAGUUUCGGCGGUUGGGGAUGGACUCGCGGCUUAUCAGCUUGUUGGUGGGGUAGUGGCUUACCAAGGCUUUGACGGGUAGCCGGCCUGAGAGGGUGACCGGCCACAUAGGGCCUGGGGUGCGACCCAGACUCAUACGGGAGGCAGGGGUGGAAAAUAUUGCACGCUGGGCGGAGGGCGGAUGCAGCGACGCCGCGUGGGAAAUGACGGCUUUCGGGUUGGAAACCGCUUUCGCCUGUGACGAAGCGUGAUGAAGGGAAAUGGUAAAGAAGCACCGGCUAACUACGUG
rnacentral:rRNA from 1 species